AUUGAACGCUGGCGGCAGGCUUAAUACAUGCAAGUCGAGGGGUAGCAAGAUUGUAGCAAUACAAUUGUUGACGACCGGCAAACGGGUGCGGAACACGUACACAACCUUCCUACAAGUGGGGAAUAGCCCAGAGAAAUUUGGAUUAAUACCCCGUAACAUAGCGAUGUGGCAUCACAUUGCUAUUAUAGCUUCGGCGCUUGUUGAUGGGUGUGCGGCUGAUUAGAUAGUUGGCGGGGUAACGGCCCACCAAGUCUACGAUCAGUAGCGGAUGUGAGAGCAUGAUCAGCCAAACGGGGACUGAGACACGGGCCCGACGCCUACGGGAGGAAGCAGUAAGGAAUAUUGGACAAUGGACGCAAGUCUGUUCCAGCCAUGCCGCGUGAAGGAUUAAGGUCCUCUGGAUUGUAAACUUCUUUUAUAAGGGACGAAAAAAGGUCUUUCUAGAUCGUCUGACGGUACCUUAUGAAUAAGCACCGGCUAACUCCGUGCCAGCAGCCGCCGCCG
rnacentral:rRNA from 1 species